UCAAUUCUUCCUUCUUGUUGAUAAAGGAAAAGGGUGGCUAGACGAUGGCCUCAUUGCUGCAAGAAGAAGGUUAAGAUAUUUUUUUUAAAACUGAAAUACUUAACAUAGAAAAAAACUAAAAUAACCCAUUAAGGCAUGAUUGCAUCCAACAUUCUAAAUACAAAUAAAUAUAAAAAACAUAAAGCAUACAACACAAUCAACAUUUUAGACCUUUUGGAGUAUCAAGACGCUUAACAACGGAGAUCUCAUUUUCGAACUCAACCUGAGCAAGAACGUUUGAUGAAUGAGAGCAUCAAAUUGUACCCGUGGGUCCUAAUGCAAAAAUCAAAGCUCAAUCACUAAAAAUCAAAACCGAUGUGGCAAAACAAUAGCCUUUAUAUACCCACAGUUAUAUUUCAGAGUCACCAUCAGAUCACUAAGAGCAUUGUACUUGUCGAUUGAUGACAGACAAUCUGAUCCCAAACAAAAUACAAAAAACUAGAAAUAAUGUUUGUAUAGAUCCAUAUACAUACUAAAAUAUAUAUAUAUACACACAAAAAAAAUAGCAACAGAUUUGUAGUUGACAAUACCCACCGUCCACCAUUCCUAAAAAAUAAAAUCAACAAUCAAGUAUCAGAAACUCAAAAAACUAUAAACCCUAGUAAAUAAUAAACCUAUAAAAUGUGAAACAACAAUUUUGUUGGCGGACCCAGAAAUUGAUGGGCCAAAAGCCAGGGGUUCCCAUUGAAAUCAUCGUCCUCUUCACCGUCUACGACCACCUUCCUGAUGUACUCCUGGGUAGGGACGAUUGAAUCGGUUUCGCCACCAGAAGUGGGUUUUGAUGUGCGAUCCUUGUGAAGUAUGCCAGCCUGAAGGGGCGACAGCAACCGGCGAACUGACCUAGGGCUUGGAUUGGUUUGGAGAAUCCACCGAGCAAGAGCCACCGAGCAAGAACGGCAGGGGCGACGGCGAAGAAGGUUGCUUGUGGUGGCCUCCGGAGAAUACGAUGGUCUGGUUUUUGAACGGGAUUGGAACUACUCGAAUGAGGGAGGAGAGAAACG
rnacentral:lncRNA from 1 species